rnacentral:rRNA from 1 species
UACGUAGGGGGCAAGCGUUGUCCGGAGUUACUGGGCGUAAAGCGCACGCAGGCGGUCUUUUAAGUUUGGAGUGACAGUUGGUGGCUUAACUGCCAAAGUGCUUCGAAAACUGAAAGACUUGAGGGCUUCAGAGGGACACGGAAUUCCGGGUGGAGUGGUGAAAUGCGUAGAGAUGUGGAGGAACACCAGUGGCGAAGGCGGCUUUCUGGUCUGUAACUGACGCUGAGGCGCGAAAGCGUGGGGAGCAAACAGG